ACUAUGUGAAUAUUAAUAUUAAUGCCUUAAGAAUUGUUGCAAAAACAGUUGCAGUAGUAGCAUUUAUAUUUGUAAUAGUAGUAGUAAUAGUAGUAAUAAUAGUAGUAGUAGUAAUUGUUGUUAUAUUGUUAUUAUGAUUGCUAUCAAUAAUAUCACACACACACAAUAGUAGUAGUAGUAGCAGUAAUAGUAGUAGUAAGAGUAGAAGCAAUAGUAAUUUUAAUAAUUUAGUAUAAUUUAAUUAUUUAAUUAAUUUUAUUUAUUUAUUUAUUUAUUUUAUUUUAUUUAUUUUAUUUAUUUUUUUGGUGGAUAUGAGUGUGUUCGUUGGUUGAACAAGUCCCUGUAUAUUAAAUAGACUUUUGUGUGUCGCUCAAGUACCGAACGGCCUCGAAACACUGAGCCAAAGGGAUGCCGCUCAGCCUGCAGCCAGUGUGGCGGCGUACCUUGUGUGGUGCGCGUGUGUAUCGCAUUGUGUUCCUCCUCAUAGACUUAGUGGUGGUCAAGAUAACCAGGAUUGGCCAAGCCCUCCCUGAAGUGUGCUACCAGUAGUGUACCAGAUUUGCAUCAACAACCACCACCACCACCACCACCACCAGCAUGGCAGUAGUAGCAGGAGUAGUGAAUGGUCACACGUAUGUGGUGACUUCUUGGACUAUCAGGCUGCCCUUGUAGUGUGUUGGACUAUCGGUCAACAAGGAGACCUGAAAGUUACGUGGUACAACUAUUUUGGUGAUAGUAGUGGCUGAGUUGCCGAUCCAAAGGCCUGGCUUAAGAGUGAUCCCGAGCUACCUGUACCAUCAAGAUCAAGAUCGAGCGUCCAUUUUAGAUGGUGAGUCUGCGUACAAAAUUGCAUGGGAGGGAUUGAUAGAGGCAGCCACAAUUAUCCAUCAUCAUCGGCGACACCAUGGCUCUUGAGAAGACAGACAGACCCUGAUGACAGCGUGGUGAGCGAGGAGGGGGAGUCAACCAGCAGAGUAGGGGAGCAUGACCCCUACUUUGAACCAGUGGUGACCUUGCUGGAGGUCUUCGUGGUUAGUGAUGAUGACCAGGAGGAGGAAAUGAUGAGACUGAGUUUCGAGAUCAGGCAGUACAAGCUGUUUCAUUAUCACACCUCUGAGUCGCCCCCACAGUGGAAGGAACGGGGCAUGGGGGCCAUUAACAUUCUGAGGAACAAGCAGAAGAAGGCUGUGGAGUUUGUUCAGCAGCAGAAUUAAUGCCAGUGGCUGAGUUCAGAUCCUCCAAGACACACACACACACACACAGCAGCCCCUCCACCUCCCCACAGCCCUCCACAGCCCUUGACACAGCAUCUAACACAGCCCCUUCACAGACCACCACAUACCUCACACAUACAUAAGAACAUAAGAACAAGAAAUAAGGGAAGCUGCAAGAAGCGACCAGGCUUACACGUGGCAGUCCCUGUAUGAAAUAUACCUACCUAUUUCCAUCUGUUAUCCCCAUCCAUAAACUUGUCUAAUCUUCUCUUAAAUCUCUCUAGUGUCCUAGCACUAACUACAUGAUUACUGAGUCCAUUCCACUCAUCUACCACUCUAUUUGAGAACAAAUUUUUUCCUAUCUCCUUCCUAAACCUAAAUUUUUCAAGCUUGUACCCAUUAUUUCUUGUUCUACCCUGGUUGCUGAUCCUAAGAAUUUUGCCUACAUCCCCCUUGUUAUAACCCUUAUAUCACUCAAAGACUUCCAUCAGGUCCCCUCUUAACCUACGUAUCUCUAAAGAAAGUAAAUUUAACAGCUUCAACCUCGCCUCAUAAGGAAUACUCCUCAUCCCCUGUAUCCUUUUAAUCAUUCUCCUCUGUACUGAUUCUAAUAGACCUAUAUCUUUCCUGUAAUGUGGGGACCAGAACUGCACAGCAUAGUCUAGAUGAGGUCUGACCAGCACCGAGUAUAACUUUAAUACUACUUCCGGCCUUCUACUUUUAACACUCCUAAAAAUCACACACACCACAGGAGCCUCACAAACAGUCUGACAGCCUUCACAAGCAGCCCCACACUCCACCACAGACACACCAGACCCACAGCCCUUCACCUCACCCACUACCCAGCCCCCCACAGCCCCCCAGCCACCACAAAUAAAGUCAAAGGAAGGGACUGUGGCUUCACCCAGCCAGCCAGGACAGCCUACAGAGAGGGGGUAGUCCCAGUCAAGUCACAAAAUAUAGGCUUGGUUCUUCCUACAGUUUGAAGUCAAUGAUUGG